rnacentral:rRNA from 1 species
UGCGUAGGUUGUUUUUUAAGUCUAAGGUAAAAAAUCUAAGCGAAACUUAGAAAUUAUUUUAGAUACUAUUAAACUUUGAGGAUAUUAGAAGUUUGUUGUAUUCUCGAUGUAAAGGUGAAAUUUCAAGAUAUCGGGAGGACGUUCAAAAGGCAAAGGCAACUUACUAGAAUAUUUCUGACACUGAAGUACGAAAGCAUAGGUAUCAAAUGGGAUUAGAGACCCCAGUAGUCUAUGCCCUCAACAAUGAAUGCUAAGGAUUUAAUUUUUUUUUCAAUUAGAUUCUAAAGCUAACGCGAAAGCAUUCCGCCUGGAUAGUACGACCGCAAGGUUAAA